GUACUCUAGUGGCAAAACUGCUGGCUAGUGUACCUGUUCUGCCAAAAGUAAAAUGGGCUUACUGAGGAAAUUAAAUUUAUGUUCAAGUGCUAUUUCUUUAUGCACCGGGGAACAAGCAUUUCUAACAACCUGGUCCUACGUGGCUGAAACUGGAUCCCAGAAGCCCCGUCCUUCCCGAAGCUCGUAGCGGAAGUGACAUCAGCCCGCCGCCACUAUCUUUUCCCGCGCUGGCUGCCCACGGUCAGUGCUGUUUCACCUUUAUCUUGGUGGAGUCGACCCCGGCUGUGGAAAAGGAUUUCUGCCAUUCUGGUAAGGUUGGCUCUGGCCCCGCAUCCUCCCGCGUCAGGAACCUGGCGAUUCCGGAGUGUUCUUGGACUUCAAAUAACCCUGUACAAAGAGGAAUGGAGAUUGCCUCUAUUCACCUAGAUUCAUAAGUUGCCCUGAGGCAAUCUUGGCAUCAAGGAAGAGAGCAUUGAGGCACAACUGACCAUCAGCUUCAGAGAAUGGCAGUCACUGAUUUGUCCCAUGCAGACAAGAAGCUACAGUGGAUGGAAACUCUGAGAAUUGUGGAGAGGUCUUCAGUGAAUGGUUUUGCCUUAAAACACACAUGAGAGCUCAGAAUGGAGGGAACAUCUUUGAGGGUAAUUGUUAUGGAAAAGACAUCCUCAGUGUGCACAAGGAAGCCUCUAUUGGACAGGAACUUUCCAAAUUUAAUCCAUGUGGAAAAGUCUUCACCUUAACUCCAGAUCUUGCUGCACAUCUUGGAAUUCUCAAUGCAAGACAACCAUACAAAUGUAAGGAAUGUAGAAAAGGCUUUAAGUAUUUUGCAAGCCUUGAUAAUCACAUGGGAAUCCACAUUGGAGAGAAAUUCUGUGAAUUUCAGGAAUGUAGGAGAGCCAUCACUCAUUCCUCACACCUAAAGCAGUGUGUAACAGUUCAUACUGGAAAGAAAUCUAAAAAGACUAAGAAACAUGGGAAAUCCUUCACUAAUUUUUCUCAACUUUCUGCACAUGUGAAAAUUCAUAAAGGAGAGAAGUCCUUUGAAUGUAAAGAAUGUGGAAGAUCCUUUAGAAAUUCCUCAUCCUUUAAUGUUCACAUUCAAAUUCACACUGGAAUAAAACCACACAAAUAUACGGAAUGUGGGAAAGCCUUCACUAGGUCAACUCACCUUACUCAACAUGUAAGAACUCACACUGGAAUAAAACCCUAUGAAUGUAA
rnacentral:lncRNA from 1 species